CAGUGGUGAGAUGCGGCCAUUACCAAACCACAGACAACACUCCAGGUGACAUGGUUAGUUAUAUAUUACCCAACAUGCAACACUCCAGGUGACAUGGUUAGUUAUAUAUUACCAAACCACAGACAACACUCCAGGUGACAUGGUUAGUUAUAUAUUACCAAACCACAGACAACACUCCAGGUGACAUGGUUAGUUAUAUAUUACCCAACAUGCAACACUCCAGGUGACAUGGUUAGGUAUAUAUUACCCAACAGACAACACUCCAGGUGACAUGGUUAGUUAUAUAUUACCCAACAUGCAACACUCCAGUUGACAUGGUUAGGUAUAUAUUACCCAACAGACAACACUCCAGGUGACAUGGUUAGUUAUAUAUUACCAAACCACAGACAACACUCCAGGUGACAUGGUUAGUUAUAUAUUACCCAACAUGCAACACUCCAGGUGACAUGGUUAGUUAUACAUUACCAAACCACAGACAACACUCCAGGUGACAUGGUUAGGUAUAUAUUACCAAACCACAGACAACACUCCAGGUGACAUGGUUAGUUAUAUAUUACCAAACCACAGACAACACUCCAGGUGACAUGGUUAGUUAUAUAUUACCAAACCACAGACAACACUCCAGGUGACAUGGUUAGUUAUAUAUUACCAAACCACAGACAACACUCCAGGUGACAUGGUUAGGUAUAUAUUACCAAACCACAGACAACACUCCAGGUGACAUGGUUAGUUAUAUAUUACCAAACCACAGACAACACUCCAGGUGACAUGGUUAGUUAUAUAUUACCAAACCACAGACAACACUCCAGGUGACAUGGUUAGGUAUAUAUUACCAAACCACAGACAACACUCCAGGUGACAUGGUUAGGUAUAUAUUACCCAACAGACAACACUCCAGGUGACAUGGUUAGGUAUAUAUUACCCAACAGACAACACUCCAGGUGACAUGGUUAGUUAUAUAUUACCAAACCACAGACAACACUCCAGGUGACAUGGUUAGUUAUAUAUUACCAAACCACAGACAACA